rnacentral:rRNA from 30 species
UGCAUGUCUCAGUGCAAGCCAAAUUAAGGUGAAACCGCGAAUGGCUCAUUAAAUCAGUUAUGGUUCCUUAGAUCGUACCCACGUUACUUGGAUAACUGUGGUAAUUCUAGAGCUAAUACAUGCAAACAGAGCUCUGACCAGAAAUGGAAAGAGCGCUUUUAUUAGAUCAAAACCAAUCGGUCGGCUCGUCCGGUCCGUUUGCCUUGGUGACUCUGAAUAACUUUGGGCUGAUCGCACGGUCCUUGUACCGGCGACGCAUCUUUCAAAUGUCUGCCUUAUCAACUUACGAUGGUAGGUUCUGCGCCUACCAUGGUUGUAACGGGUAACGGGGAAUCAGGGUUCGAUUCCGGAGAGGGAGCCUGAGAAACGGCUACCACAUCCAAGGAAGGCAGCAGGCGCGCAAAUUACCCACUCCCGGCACGGGGAGGUAGUGACGAAAAAUAACGAUACGGGACUCAUCCGAGGCCCCGUAAUCGGAAUGAGUACACUUUAAAUCCUUUAACGAGUAUCC